rnacentral:rRNA from 1 species
GACGAACGCUGGCGGCGUGCUUAACACAUGCAAGUCGGACGGAAAGGCCCUGCUUUUGUGGGGUGCUCGAGUGGCGAACGGGUGAGUAACACGUGAGUAACCUGCCCUUGACUUUGGGAUAACUUCAGGAAACUGGGGCUAAUACCGGAUAGGAGCUCCUGCUGCAUGGUGGGGGUUGGAAAGUUUCGGCGGUUGGGGAUGGACUCGCGGCUUAUCAGCUUGUUGGUGGGGUAGUGGCUUACCAAGGCUUUGACGGGUAGCCGGCCUGAGAGGGUGACCGGCCACAUUGGGACUGAGAUACGGGCCAGACUCCUACGGGAGGCAGCAGUGGGGAAUAUUGCACAAUGGGCGGAAGCCUGAUGCAGCAACGCCGCGUGCGGGAUGACGGCCUUCGGGUUGUAAACCGCUUUCGCCUGUGACGAAGCGUGAGUGACGGUAAUGGGUAAAGAAGCACCGGCUAACUACGUG